rnacentral:misc_RNA from 1 species
GAUGACACCCGAUCAGCAAAUCUCAUUUGAUUCAUUGGUCGAAGCUCGUGCCAAAUUUGCACCAUUACCCCAGAAGAUGUUUGAAAUUCGAGCCUCGGAUCGCUGGAACAUGGCGCAAUGGUUUCUGACCAACGAAGCAGCGCCCCGCGCCAACAAACUUCUGGAUAUCUUUGCAGGGGCUAGAAACGCCGAUGGCGCGCGUGCCGGUGGGAUGGUUGCCCGACA